AACAGUUAAGCUGCAGAUGCCAACCAAGAUGACCAGAGAUCCAACCAAGAUGACCAGAGAUCCAGGAAGAAUACCUUUGAAAGGACAGCUGUAGAAGAAAGUGCAACCCAGCACACAACCGAAUUCCCACACCCCUCUUUGUUGAGUAUGCCUGCGUGUGAUGUCGACCUACAGACUAGAGAGCCACAGCUGAAGACAGAAACCCAGCAGAACACAAAGAAACAUGAAGCGGACCACUGCCCUGAAGCCAAACUUCCCUCUUCAAAAUGAGCCUUUGCCCCAAAAAGAGGCUCCUUUUUGUUUUUUUCUUUGUAUCUUUUGUAAUUUCUUGUUGUAAGGUUCUAUAUAAAUACAUAUUGUUGUUAU